CCUACGGGGGGCAGCAGUGAGGAAUAUUGGUCAAUGGACGUGAGUCUGAACCAGCCAAGUAGCGUGAAGGAUGACUGCCCUAUGGGUUGUAAACUUCUUUUAUAUGGGGAUAAAACAGGGUAUGCAUACCCUCUUGUAUGUACCAUAUGAAUAAGGAUCGGCUAACUCCGUGCCAGCAGCCGCGGUAAUACGGAGGAUCCGAGCGUUAUCCGGAUUUAUUGGGUUUAAAGGGAGCGUAGGUGGAUUGUUAAGUGAGCUGUGAAAGUUUGCGGCUCAACCGUAAAAUUGCAGUUGAAACUGGCAGUCUUGAGUACAGUAGAGGUAUGCGGAAUUCGUGGUGUAGCGGUGAAAUGCUUAGAUAUCACGAAGAACUCCGAUUGCGAAGGCAGCUCACGGGACUGCUACUGACGCUGAUGCUCGAAAGUGUGGGUAUCGAACAGGAUUAGAUACCCUAGUAGUC
rnacentral:rRNA from 1 species